UACGUAGGGGGCGAGCGUUGUCCGGAUUUACUGGGCGUAAAGAGCGCGCAGGCGGUCGUACAAGUCGCGUGUGAAAGCCCCCGGCUCAACUGGGGAGGGUCACGCGAUACUGUUCGACUCGAAGGCAGGAGAGGGAAGCGGAAUUCCCGGUGUAGUGGUGAAAUGCGUAGAUAUCGGGAGGAACACCUGCGGUGUAGACGGCUUUCUGGACCAUUGCUGACGCUGAGACACGAAAGCGUGGGUAGCAAACAGG
rnacentral:rRNA from 1 species